GCCAGCAUGGUGUAGUGGUUUGAGUGUUGGACUAUAAUUCCAGAGACCAGGGUUCAAAUCUCUGCUUGAGCA
rnacentral:tRNA from 1 species